rnacentral:rRNA from 1 species
GACGAACGCUGGCGGCGUGCCUAAUACAUGCAAGUCGAGCGGACGAAUCGGAAGCUUGCUUUUGAUUCGUUAGCGGCGGACGGGUGAGUAACACGUGGGCAACCUGCCCUGUAGACGGGGAUAACACCGAGAAAUCGGUGCUAAUACCGGAUAACACGAAAUGUCGCAUGACGUUUCGUUGAAAGACGGCGCAAGCUGUCGCUACAGGAUGGGCCCGCGGCGCAUUGGCUAGUUGGUGAGGUAACGGCUCACCAAGGCGACGAUGCGUAGCCGACCUGAGAGGGUGAUCGGCCACACUGGGACUGAGACACGGCCCAGACUCCUACGGGAGGCAGCAGUAGGGAAUCUUCCGCAAUGGACGAAAGUCUGACGGAGCAACGCCGCGUGAGCGAAGAAGGCCUUCGGGUCGUAAAGCUCUGUUGUUAGGGAAGAACAAGUAACGCAGUAACUGGCGUUACCGUGACGGUACCUAACGAGAAAGCCACGGCUAACUACGUG